AGCAGGGAUGCUCAAGGCCUGUGAGG
rnacentral:piRNA from 1 species